rnacentral:rRNA from 1 species
ACAGGCCUAACACAUGCAAGUCGAACGGCGGCACAGGAGAGCUUGCUCCCUGGGUGGCGAGUGGCGGACGGGUGAGGAAUACAUCGGAAUCUACUUUUUCGUGGGGGAUAACGUAGGGAAACUUACGCUAAUACCGCAUACGACCUACGGGUGAAAGCAGGGGAUCUUCGGACCUUGCGCGAUUGAAUGAGCCGAUGUCGGAUUAGCUAGUUGGCGGGGUAAAGGCCCACCAAGGCGACGAUCCGUAGCUGGUCUGAGUGGAUGAUCAGCCACACUGGAACUGAGACACGGUCCAGACUCCUACGGGAGGCAGCAGUGGGGAAUAUUGGACAAUGGGCGCAAGCCUGAUCCAGCCAUACCGCGUGGGUGAAGAAGGCCUUCGGGUUGUAAAGCCCUUUUGUUGGGAAAGAAAUCCAGCUGGUUAAUACCCGGUUGGGAUGACGGUACCCAAAGAAUAAGCACCGGCUAACUUCGUGCCAGCAGCCGCGGUAAUACGAAGGGUGCAAGCGUUACUCGGAAUUACUGGGCGUAAAGCGUGCGUAGGUGGUCGUUUAAGUCCGUUGUGAAAGCCCUGGGCUCAACCUGGGAACUGCAGUGGAUACUGGGCGACUAGAAUGUGGUAGAGGGUAG